GGAUUUAUAAUGUAUAUCUCUUAUCUUUUUACAGGUAGCAUUUACAACAAAGAUUUAUCACCCAAAUAUAAACAGCAACGGGAGUAUCUGUUUGGACAUUCUACGGUCCCAGUGGUCUCCAGCACUUACAGUGUCUAAAGUUUUAUUGUCCAUAUGUUCAUUGCUGUGUGAUCCGAACCCAGAUGACCCCUUAGUUCCAGAUAUAGCACACAUGUACAAGAACGACAAAGACAAAUACAACAAACUAGCAAAAGAUUGGACCCAAAAGUACGCCAUGUAAAGAAAAAAAGAAGAAAACAUGCUGAGAAUUUUCCUUUUUCCUUCCUUUUUUUUUUAAAAGUCACAACACACUGUACAUUAUAGUAUGGAAUCAUUAAGUAAUCCUAGGUAACUUCCAUCAAACUGAACUGUCAUUAACAAUAUCAUUAAUCCAUGACAUGUACAUUGAUUGUUUUUGAAAGGAAGCAGAAGAGAAUGAUUCCCUGCGGUCGCUAUAUGGACGAUGAUGUUUCCAAGAAGCAUGUUGUUCUUGCAUCAAGGAAUUUUUAUUUAUAACUCAAGUUAUUACAAAUUGCAUUCUUCAUUUUUGAAGUAAGACUAGUAGAUUGUAGGAUUUAAAUCCCAACAGAUGCCAUUCAGCGAGAAGCCUUUUUUCCCAGAGGAGCCGAGUGAUUGAGUACCAUACAUGCUAGCUGCUCCUGGAGAGGAAUAGCCCACGUUCAGUCCCUGCUGCAGCAUCAGCUGCAGGAAACCCCCAACCAUGGAAAUGUGGAUGGGUGAAUGCCAAAUAUGUGAGCCCAACAUUCUGAGACAUGUCAUGUAGUGGGUGAUCAAGGUUUAUUUUUUAUUUUUUUUGCAUCUUGUAGCAGACGAAGUGGAAUGAAACAAUGUACUGUUUCCCUGAAAACAGGAGAAAUUACAAGUCACGUAUUACUAAUUGUAUAGCAUUAAAAUCGUCUUGGAUAUUUCAUUUAAAUUAGAGUUAUCACUAUGUAAAUCUGUCAUUCAAAUGAUGUCCUCUUUUCCCCUGAGAGUAGAAGUGACGUUGGCUUUUUGGUUGGUUUUACACAGGAACAAAGAAGAGAUUUGAAUCCACUGACUGACCUGUAAUAAAGGGUUACAUGUGUUCAUCUAUAUAUCCAUCUAUGCUAUAAAAGUGUUGAAAAUGUAUUUGUUUGUUCCUGUGUAAAUAGUCUCACUUGUGUCUUUGAGGCCUGUGUGGCACCUUUUGUACUGAAUUAAAGAAAGGUACCGUUUUUA